UACAGAGGUCUCAAGCGUUGUUCGGAUUCAUUGGGCGUAAAGGGUGCGUAGGCGGUUGGGUAAGUCAAAUGUGAAAUCCCGGAGCUCAACUCUGGAACUGCAUUCGAUACUGCCAGGCUCGAGGAUUGGAGAGGAUACUGGAAUUCACGGUGUAGCAGUGAAAUGCGUAGAGAUCUUGAGGAACACCAGUGGCGAAGGCGGGUCUCUGGACAAUUCCUGACACUGAGGCACGAAGGCCAGGGGAGCAAACGGG
rnacentral:rRNA from 1 species